rnacentral:rRNA from 1 species
AGCGAACGCUGGCGGCAGGCCUAACACAUGCAAGUCGAACGAACUCUUCGGAGUUAGUGGCGGAAGGGUGAGUAACACGUGGGAACGUGCCUUUUGGUUCGGAAUAACUCAGGGAAACUUGUGCUAAUACCGAAUGUGCCCUUCGGGGGAAAGAUUUAUCGCCAUUAGAGCGGCCCGCGUCUGAUUAGCUAGUUGGUGAGGUAACGGCUCACCAAGGCGACGAUCAGUAGCUGGUCUGAGAGGAUGACCAGCGACACUGGGACUGAGACACGGCCCAGACUCCUACGGGAGGCAGCAGUGGGGAAUCUUGCGCAAUGGGCGAAAGCCUGACGCAGCCAUGCCGCGUGAAUGAUGAAGGUCUUAGGAUUGUAAAAUUCUUUCACCGGGGACGAUAAUGACGGUACCCGGAGAAGAAGCCCCGGCUAACUUCGUG